rnacentral:rRNA from 1 species
GCUCGGACGAACGCUGGCGGCGCCCUAACCAUGCAAGUCGAACGAGAGAUGAGGAGCUCGCUCUUCAAAUCGAGUGGCGAACGGGUGAGUAACGCGUGAGAAACCUGCCUCAAAGAGGGGGACAACAGUUGGAAACGACUGCUAAUACCGCAUAAGCCCACGGCUCGGCAUCGAGCAGAGGGAAAAGGAGCAAUCCGCUUUGAGAUGGCCUCGCGUCCGAUUAGCUAGUUGGUGAGGUAAUGGCCCACCAAGGCGACGAUCGGUAGCCGGACUGAGAGGUUGAACGGCCACAUUGGGACUGAGACACGGCCCAGACUCUUACGGGAGGCAGCAGUGGGGAAUAUUGCACAAUGGGGGAAACCCUGAUGCAGCGACGCCGCGUGGAGGAAGAAGGUCUUCGGAUUGUAAACUCCUGUUGUUGAGGAAGAUAAUGACGGUACUCAACAAGAAAGUGACGGCUAACUACGUGCCAGCAGCCGCGGUAAAACGUAGGUCACAAGCGUUGUCCGGAAUUACUGGGUGUAAAGGGAGCGCAGGCGGGAGAACAAGUUGGAAGUGAAAUCCAUGGGCUCAACCCAUGAACUGCUUUCAAAACUGUUUUUCUUGAGUAGUGCAGAGGUAGGCGGAAUUCCCGGUGUAGCGGUGGAAUGCGUAGAUAUCGGGAGGAACACCAGUGGCGAAGGCGGCCUACUGGGCACCAACUGACGCUGAGGCUCGAAAGUGUGGGUAGCAAACAGGAUUAGAUACCCUGGUAGUCCACACCGUAAACGAUGAUUACUAGGUGUUGGAGGAUUGACCCCUUCAGUGCCGCAGUUAACACAAUAAGUAAUCCACCUGGGGAGUACGACCGC